AGUGAACGCUGGUGGUAGGCCUAACACAUGCAAGUCGAACGGCAGCACAGUAAGAGCUUGCUCUUACGGGUGGCGAGUGGCGGACGGGUGAGGAAUACAUCGGAAUCUACUUUUUCGUGGGGGAUAACGUAGGGAAACUUACGCUAAUACCGCAUACGACCUACGGGUGAAAGCAGGGGAUCUUCGGACCUUGCGCGAUUGAAUGAGCCGAUGUCGGAUUAGCUAGUUGGCGGGGUAAAGGCCCACCAAGGCGACGAUCCGUAGCUGGUCUGAGAGGAUGAUCAGCCACACUGGAACUGAGACACGGUCCAGACUCCUACGGGAAGAAGCAGUUGGGAAUAUUGGACAAUGGGCGCAAGCCUGAUCCAGCCAUACCGCGUGGGUGAAGAAGGCCUUCGGGUUGUAAAGCCCUUUUGUUGGGAAAGAAAAGCAGCGGGUUAAUACCCCGCUGUUCUGACGGUACCCAAAGAAUAAGCACCGGCUAACUUCGUG
rnacentral:rRNA from 1 species